rnacentral:rRNA from 1 species
GAUGAACGCUGGCGGCGUGCCUAAUACAUGCAAGUCGAGCGAACAGACGAGGAGCUUGCUCCUCUGACGUUAGCGGCGGACGGGUGAGUAACACGUGGAUAACCUACCUAUAAGACUGGGAUAACUUCGGGAAACCGGAGCUAAUACCGGAUAAUAUAUUGAACCGCAUGGUUCAAUAGUGAAAGACGGUUUUGCUGUCACUUAUAGAUGGAUCCGCGCCGCAUUAGCUAGUUGGUAAGGUAACGGCUUACCAAGGCGACGAUGCGUAGCCGACCUGAGAGGGUGAUCGGCCGCACUGGAACUGAGACACGGUCCAGACUCCUACGGGAGGCAGCAGUAGGGAAUCUUCCGCAAUAGGCGAAAGCCUGACGGAGCAACGCCGCGUGAGUGAUGAAGGUCUUCGGAUCGUAAAACUCUGUUAUUAGGGAAGAACAAAUGUGGAAGUAACUAUGCACGUCUUGACGGUACCUAAUCAGAAAGCCACGGCUAACUACGUG